rnacentral:rRNA from 1 species
GAUGAACGCUGGCGGCGUGCCUAAUACAUGCAAGUCGAACGAAACUUCUUUAUCACCGAGUGCUUGCACUCACCGAUAAAGAGUUGAGUGGCGAACGGGUGAGUAACACGUUUUCAACCUGCCCAAAAGAGGGGGAUAACACUUGGAAACAGGUGCUAAUACCGCAUAACCAUAGUUACCGCAUGGUACCUAUGUAAAAGGUGGCUAUACUACCGCUUUUGGAUGGGCCCGCGGCGCAUUAGCUAGUUGGUAGGGUAAAGGCUUACCAAGGCAAUGAUGCGUAGCCGAAUUGAGAGGUUGAUCGGCCACAUUGGGACUGAGACACGGCCCAAACUCCUACGGGAGGCAGCAGUAGGGAAUCUUCCACAAUGGGCGAAAGCCUGAUGGAGCAACGCCGCGUGGGUGAAGAAGGUCUUCGGAUCGUAAAACCCUGUUGUUAGAGAAGAAAGUGCGUGAGAGUAACUGUUCACGUUUCGACGGUAUCUAACCAGAAAGCCACGGCUAACUACGUG